ACACCAUAUCUUGUUUUUAACUGCCCUGCAAUCGCUGCAGGCCUUCACCUCUUAAACUACCCCACAGAAGAGGAUUUGUAUUCAUUUAAUGCCAUAGAAAUAACAAAGACUAUUCAAGCACACCAUGAAAUAUGAUUCAAUAGAGGAUACGACACCAACCAACCAUGUAUCAAAAUCUUACAAAUAGGUGCCUGUUUUUGAGGGCUCAAAACAUGUCGACUGUUAUUUAUAUAUUUUUGAAGCGAACAAAGUUUUUAAGCAGAAGAGAUCUUUUAGUGUAUCAUACAGCCUGUUAAUACUGAUAGUUGCAAUUUUCAAAAGAACAUAUAGAACUCUUUGUGACUAACCCCAUUAAUUAUCAAUUUAAGAAAAUAUAAUAGUACAAGUAACUUUAGAAAGCCAAGGUUUUCUACAGUUAAGUGCGGAUGACACGGAGCAUUUUUUAUAGAUUUUUUUAAAGGUUUUAAACACGUGAAAUUUUCAACUGAAAAAAAACUCGUCUUUCAAUAAUAAAAAUAUGUUAUUCUACUCUACUGAUUGCCACACAUACUUUGAAAUAAAAAAAAUCAUAAAUAGUAUAUGAUUAAUUUUUCUAAAAAAAAAAAAGAAUUUUGAAAAAUGCCAAUUUAUAAUAAUAUAGCAAAAUUUCUAAAAUACAAUCGGGUAAAAAUUGUGUACAUUUUAUUGAAUCUUCAAUGGUAACACAAACAUUUCUAUAAAUUAAGUAAAUUACAGAAAUGUUGUCAUAGCUACAUUUAUUCAACUUACAACAUAUUUGUGAAUUUCAUUUCAUGCUACAAUACAUAGAAAAGCAAAAAAAUUACUGAAUGCAAUGUUCAGAAACAAAAAAAAAAAUAUGAAUUAUUUAAGUUUUCAUAAUAAGAAUUUAUAAACUACUUUGUAAUUAAUGCAUGUAAUUUUUAGGCAAUAAAAUUUUUCAUGAAGCAAAA